ensembl:lncRNA
GCAGAUCACUUGAGGUCAGGAGUUCGAGACCAGCCUGGACAACAUGGUGAAUCUCUGUCUCUACUAAAAACACAAAAAUUAGCCAGGUGUGGUGGUACAUGCCUGCAAUUCCAGCUACUCAGGAGGCUGAGGCAGGAGAAUCGCUUGAACCUGUGGGAUAGAGGUUGCAGUGAGCUGUGAUCACACCAUUGCACUUCAGCCUGGGUGGCAGAGCAAGACUCCAUCUCAAAAAAAAAAAAAAAAAGAGAUACUACAUGUAAAGUACCUGGGACAGUGCCUAGUGCAUAGUGAGUUCUCUAUAAGUAUUAGCUAUUAUUUUCCUUUUGAAUGUCCUCAUGGCAUCAAAUCUUUUACUUAUGCAGCAAACGCUUUUGAGUACAGCUAUGUGGAACACAUCAUGCUAGAUUCUGGGGAUAUGAAAAGGAGUAAAAUUCAGCACUUACUUCCAAGCAACUCACAGUGCAAUGAGGACGAUAGCAAGUCAAGGGGUAGACCUCCAACCGGAAGGAUCAUGGAAGGGCAUAGGAGAGACCUUCAAUCCAAAUAUAGGCCUUGAAAGGUGACUAGGAGUUCAUCAGUCAAUGAAAGGUAUUCCAGAAAGAAGGAAGAGGGUAUAUAAAGGGCUAGGGGCAAACAAGUGGUUGUGGCCUGUAGGUACCAGUCAGUGGCUCUAGAGUGGGAGACUGGAUGGUAAUAGGUGGGGCUGAUGGACAGAUUUCAGAUCAAGAAAAGCCAUGAGAGACACACUAAGACUUUGGAAUUUAUCCUAAAAUGUUUAUUGGAGAAUUAUUGGAAUUGUUUUAGGAAGUGACAAAAUCAGAUUAAUGAUUUAGAAAAAGUGAUCUGGCUGCAAUGUAGACACUGAGCUGGAGAGAAACCAUCCUGUAGGCAAAAAGAUCAGUCAAGACACUUUUUAAAGAUCCAACAUUGAAAUGAUGGAUGAGGGUCCUUGAGCCAGGGCAGUGGCAGAGGGACAGAAAAAGAGGCAGAUCUGAGAGAUAUUGAGCAAGUGAAAUGUCGCCAACCAGGUAAAGGAUGAGGGACAGAGAGAAGCUGAAGAGAACUCCCAGUUUCUGAGGACCUGGUGUAAAGCCAAGGAGGCAGAAAGUGGGAUGAAUCCCAGACAAGGGUGUUUCCAUGUGCGUGGAAUGGAAGCCCACAGAAGCAAAGGAGUUAAGAGCUUGGGCAGAGUGUCACUAGAGAUUCAGUUCCAUGCUCUAGACUGGAUAGAAAUCAAGAUGGCAGGAGGCUGGUGGAUUGAGAAUGAAACAGGUUGAAAAAUACUCCUUUGAGAAUGGAUAUUAUUUUGACUAUAGUUUAAAGUCAUUUCUAGUCAAAGCUUAAGAAAGUGGGUGAUCAAACAGGAAGCUAUAAUAUUAAAAGCAACCAAAAAACCAAGCUCUAACAUUGAAAUAGACAAGCUGGUUUUCUUUUGUGAUUGUUAAACAAGCACUGCAGUUAGCCCUAUGAAAGAUCCAUUGAUCGGAUCUUUCAUUAAUUGUAAUUGGAUGGUUCAUUAAUUGUAGCCAAUGUACACAUUUUGAGCCAUGGCAGUACUGUUGGAAUGAGGGCUUUGUCCCAUAAGUUGACUACUGUAGAUGUGUAAGUCCUAGAGUACUUAUUUCAGACACAUUCACAUGACUUUAGAAUGUUAUUUAACCAUAUUAUGUGUGUACCUUGACUCCCAAUUGGAUUAUGAGCUUCUGAAGGAAAGUGGAUUAACUUUUUGUGUGUUUUUGGCUGUUAACACAGAUGUUGGGUCCAAAUGAGAGUGCUCAUAAUUAUCUGUGAAAAGAAUAAGAAGACAGAGUACUUAUCUUGAGAAUAAAUAGACAGUAAAUGCUGUGCUGUCUGGACUUUUCUCAACAGGAAAGCUUUGGAAGCGGGCAUUUUUGAUAGUCUCUAUUGCAAAUCAUUGAAUGCAGUCAUUGAAAUUCAACUGCAGUGCCAGCACAUUUGAAAGAGGCCUGAUAAAAAUGCAAAGUCUAUGCUGUCUCCAGUGACUUCAGCCAAGUAAAAUAAGCCUGGAGGGGAAAAUAAACCUUUUUCUAAAACUUCACACAGGGAAAAAGUUUCCUAAGUUUUUGAGAAAUGACUAGUAUUUCCAAAAUGGAUUUGGAGUGGGAAUGUGAGAAGCCAAAGGUAACCACUAUGAAAAAUAACGGGGCAAUUGGGAAGCACAGGUUACCUUAAUCAGGCUUGGAGAGGAUGUGAUAGAAAUGUAAAUCUAAAGCUGCCUCUAGAUCCCCUGGCUAAAUAGAAACUCCUAGAGGCAGAAUCAAUUUUUCACUGUUCGAUGAUGACUGCGUUUUCUAUAGGUUGAAAGCACAGAGGUAGGAAAGUUUCAAAGUUCUCAAGAAAUAAUAGGUGAAUGAAUUAAAAAUCAUUGCUUUUGCCAAACCACCCUACCUGGCCUCUUUCUUCCCCUGGCGAGAGUUUGGUGUCUCCAUACCGCUCUGCCCGUCCUGGACACAGUGUACAAUCCCAGCCACUAAUUAGCUUGUUAUUGUUUCCCAGUUUAGGAAGGAGGAGAGGCAAAGAGAUCCAGGGCUACUGGAGAACAGGCCAGGAUGGGGACUUUCAUGGGGCAUCUCUAGGGAGAGCCUGAAAAGGCAAGAGAGAGGACAUCAAAGAUAAUUCCUUCUGCUUCAGAAUUUUGUGGAGGGUCUGCUCUACAUCACACGUGUGUGUGUGUGUGUGUGUGUUUUUGUGUGCAUGUGUGCAUGCACAUUAAUGAUCUGAUGAAUUUUUUUUUCUUCCUGAGCUGAGGAUUGGAGCAUAUUUAGGGAAUGCUGGACAAAACUGCUGAGAUUGGAACUUCUGUAGGAACUCUGACACCAUUGUCUCCAUCGCAAUGGGAGAUAUAUAGAAACAGGUAGCUUUUCACAAAGGUGGGGCUGCUUCUGCUGAGUCCAAGCUUGGCAAAGCCAAAGGGAGGAAGGGAAGCAGCUUGUGGCUCUGUUCACUGCAAAUGAGCUCUUCGCCCCUGUCUAGGAUUGAGCUGAGCUGAAGAUUUUGAAAAGAUGGGAAACGCAGGACAGAAGGUGGAAAAGAAGAAAGAUAGCCCACUCUUUAAGUGUGGGCUGCACAUAGGGACUUCCCUCCAAAGAGGACAGUAAGGAAGGGGAAUGGGGAAAGAGUAACUUCACAGUGGAGGAAACUGACAAGCACUACCUCAGCUAGGUGACUAGGUCAACAUCAACAAUGGUAAGUCAUGUCAAUAGUGUAUGCCGCUGAUAUGAUGUGAUAAGAACGGGAUUUUACUUCUGUGGGAGCCCCCAAACCCAUAGCCUUAGUCUAAUCAUGAGAAAAACAGCAGAUAAAUUCCAAUAGGAGGACAGUCUAUGAAAUACCUGACUGGUACUCCUCAAAACUGCCCAGAGUGUCACAAAUAAGGCAAGUCUGAAAAAUUGUCUCAGCCUAGAGGGGCCUAAGGAGAUAAGAUGCCUAAAUAUAACAUGGAAUGAACAGGAAAGAACAUUAAGUAAAAACAAAAGAAAUCUGUCUGAAAAAAAUAUGGACUUGAAUUAAUAAUCAUCUGUCAUUAUUGGUUCAUGAAUUGUAACAAAUGUACUGUCCUAAUGUGAGAUGUUAAUUAUAGUGGAAAAUGGUUAUGGUGUAUGUGUGAACUCUCAGUACUAUCUUUGCAAUUUUUGUGUUUUUGUUUUUUGUUAUUGUUGUUAAAAUAAACUUUUUUGUUUUG